rnacentral:rRNA from 1 species
GACGAACGCUGGCGGCGCGCCUAACACAUGCAAGUCGAACGAGCGAGAGAGAGCUUGCUUUCUCAAGCGAGUGGCGAACGGGUGAGUAACGCGUGAGGAACCUGCCUCAAAGAGGGGGACAACAGUUGGAAACGACUGCUAAUACCGCAUAAGCCCACAGGUCGGCAUCGACCAGAGGGAAAAGGAGCAAUCCGCUUUGAGAUGGCCUCGCGUCCAAUUAGCUAGUUGGUGAGGUAACGGCCCACCAAGGCAACGAUCGGUAGCCGGACUGAGAGGUUGAACGGCCACAUUGGGACUGAGACACGGCCCAGACUCCUACGGGAGGCAGCAGUGGGGAAUAUUGCACAAUGGGGGAAACCCUGAUGCAGCGACGCCGCGUGGAGGAAGAAGGUCUUCGGAUUGUAAACUCCUGUUGUUGAGGAAGAUAAUGACGGUACUCAACAAGGAAGUGACGGCUAACUACGUG